GCCUGGCCGGCUCAGUCAGUGGAGCAUGGGACUCCUGAUCUCAGGGUUGUGAGUUCAAACCCCACGUUAGAUG
rnacentral:tRNA from 1 species